rnacentral:lncRNA from 1 species
GAUAAAAACAUAAAAUAACUGAGAGAUGAUAAUUAGGAUUUUUUUUUAUUUAUUUGUCCAAUCAAUACUAAAACUCAAUAAUUUCAAUAAAAGAGCUGGUGAUGGAGGAUUAUAAUUUUCCCUGUUCCUCACUGUGUCUUUCAGUCUUUUUAUGGAAGUCCUAAUUUCCUGAAAGAAGUAUACGAUGAUUCCGUAGAAGAUCUGGAGGAAUUAAUGACAAUGAUUACAAGAUCACAAGUCACUAUCACAGUCCUUGAUGUGAAGGGGCAUCUGAACAAUGAACGCUCCUUCCAGUAAAGGGGAUAAGAUCCACCGAGGGAGGUACAAAGAAGCGAGAUCCCUUGAACAGAACUUGAAGAGAGGAUCAGCAGACGUGUUGAUUGGAUAUCCAAAUAGAAAAAUACAAAUUCAUUUAAACAAGAAGGAUGGGUGGAUACGCAUCCAUACAUCCAAAUGCUUCGUACAAAAUAUUCAUUCCCAUCAUUAUAGACUAGAAUAUGAAUUAAAUAAUAAAAUUAAAUGUCUCUCCAAGAAGUUCAAACUCUUCUGCUGAGUAAAUGUGACGUAGAAAGUAAACAACUACGUGAUACAAUAUAAGGUGUGUUGAUAAGAAACUUACAACGCAGUCUGGUUGACUUUAGUUGUCAAUUUUUUUGUGGCGUCACAACGGACCCAAUUUCAGUGUUAAUCACUACUGAUAAGUGUUAAUAAAUUAUCAUCAAUAAAUACUAGAAGCUGAGGGAGGAUAAAAAAAGUUGUCAACUGCGUAGGAAUACAUUUAAUUCAUAGGGAUUUGCAUGGAUCUUUUGUACGAAGGAUUCGGAUAUAUUGCAACAAGACAUUUCAGAAGCAUGUUAUUUAAGCACCCGUCCAUUUUUUGCAACCGCACCUCCUCUUCAGAGAUCUUAAUUAUCUGUAGCCUAGAAUCAAUGAUCAUAUGUAAUAUACGUACAAUAUGUGAUAAGAUGGAAAUAGGUCUGAAGUUCGAAGCAUUCUUUGGGUAAUCAAUUUUUGGAGUAUUUAAAAGUGGGGAUGCUUUAGAACUGGACUUCCCUAGUAUUAUUAAAAUAUAUAUCUCUAGAGAGAAGAGUCAAAAUCACAAACCAAAAGAGGUUUAUUCAAGGUACCAUAUUUGGUCAUAUUAGCAAGAUAAUUACAUUGAAAUUUAUUUUUAUUCUAUCUAAGAUAAAUGACAAAUUAAGAUCUUAUUGUUAUUUUAUCUUUUUCAAAUAAGAAUUUCAUAUUUAGUGCAUAAUAUCCAGUUAUUCUAGAUAUAUUAUUGAUUUCUUCGCUAUACUAUAUUUAUUUGAAAAUGUAUGUUCUGAACUAUUUUUUUAAAUUCAAAACAACUUUUAAUUUAUUUAAAAAAAAACUUAUUACCAUAAUCGUUGUAUGGGAAAAAUUUACACUCACAGAAUUGCCUGAUAAGGAACUAAAAUACUGUUAUAUGAUGUAUUAAUACAAUUAGUUAUAUAAAUUUGAAUAUCCUCCUCAAUUGACACCUCUGUGAUGUCAUUAAAAUAGCCAGUACGAUUGUAAACGAAAGCAAAGAAAUCUCCUAUCGAUUACUAUAUAAUCAAGGGGACUAAAUAUAACGUGUGUCGAUAAGAGAUUUCUUUGCUUUUGUUUACUGGCUAUUGUGAUGACGUCAUAGAUGAGCCAAUUUAAGAAGAAAUUCGAUAAUUCGAUAAAAUAUAGUGUUAUAAUUUCUCAUCAGACAAUACUAUUAGUGUAAAUUUUUAUCAUCCGACGAUUAAGGUUGACACAUCUAAAGUACGCCUCCUCCAGAAGAAGACAAUAUUCUUGGAAUUAUAUGAGUUAACACUUAACACUAGUCAGUAACACUGAACUUGGCUCCACUCUGACGUCAUCAAAAAAGUUAUCAGCUAUCGUCAACCAGACUGUGCUGCAAGUUUCUUAUCGACACACCUCAUAUAUAUUAAUCUCGCAAUAUAAUACUGUAUCAAUGAGUGUUUAUACUAUCUCGAGAAGCACAGCUACAAUCACGCAACCUAUUGUGGUGAAACAUAAUUUUUGAUGAGCAAUUCCUGUUGAUGAUAUCCAUGAUCUUUGUAAAAUUAUUCAAAAGUAACAUUUAUUUGUAGUUAAUUAUAGUUUUAUAUCAA